rnacentral:lncRNA from 1 species
GUUGUUGAUUCCCCCCACCACCUGAUUUAACCCCAGGAGUGCUUAACCACUGGGCCACAUCCCUAUCCCUUUUUAUUUUGAGGCAGGGUCUAAGUUGCUUAGGGCCUUGCUAAAUUGCUCAAGCUGACGUAGAACUUGCAAUCCUCUUGCCUUAAGCUCCCAAAUCACUGGGAUUACAGGCAUGUGCCACCAUAUCUAUCCAUGUUGCUCAGUUUUGAUAUAGGUUCUUCCUAUUUCUUUGUGUGAGUGUAUGUGGUAUUGGGCAUCAAGCCCAGGGUUUUGUGUAUGCUAGGCAAGAGUUCUAGCAUUGAACCAUACCCCCAAGCCCAAAUUGUCCUGAACUCUAGAUCUUCCUGCCUCAGUUUUCUGAGUAGCUGGAAUUACAGGCAUGUGCCACUUUGCCCAGGUUCAUAUUUCCUAUCAGUUUAUUUCUAGUUAUUUUAUCUAUUUGCCAUUUGACAUCAGAACUUGCUCUAAUUUAUUACACAUAUGCACAUGGAUUGAAAUAGCAAAUGUUGCUCUUUUUCCUUCUUGGUCUCAAUCCAUGUGCAUCCUAUGGUAAAAGGUGAUACAAGUCUAACCAACUAGAGAAUCAUGUUCCUCUGGCCACAGUGAUUGAUUCAGGAAUGGAUAACUAUCCAAGUUGGGCCAAUUAGAGCAAAUUCUGUGAUUUAUGUAAGAGCAAUUGAGAAAAGCUACUAUUGUUCUGUUCAACUUUAACUUGGGCAAAUGAAGACAUGUUGCUCCCAUCAGUCAUCUUGCUACCACAUGGAGCCUGAAA